rnacentral:rRNA from 1 species
AUUGAACGCUGGCGGCAGGCCUAACACAUGCAAGUCGAACGAGUGGCGGACGGGUGAGUAAUGUCUGGGACACUGCCUGAUGGAGGGGGAUAACUACUGGAAACGGUAGCUCCUACCGCAUACCAUCGGAUGUGCCCAUAUGGGAUUAGCUAGUAGGUGGGGGAAAGGCUCACCUAGGCGACGUUCCCUAGCUGGUCUGAGAGGAUGACCAGCCAGACUGGAACUGAGACACGGUCCAGACUCCUAGGGGAGGCAGCAGUGGGGAAUAUUGCACAAGGGGCGGAAGCCGGAUGCAGCCAGGCCGAGUGUAUGAAGAAGGCAUUCGGGUUGUAAAGUAAUUUCAGCGGGGAGGCGGUACCCGCAGAAGAAGCACCGGCUAACUCCGUGCCAGCAGCCGCGGUAAUAC